UCCUAUUUGUCUACAAAAUACGCCAACUAUAUCUUACUUAAAAGAAUCUCCCCACUUAUGGCGCACCUGAA
rnacentral:tRNA from 1 species